GGGUUGUGAGGUUAAGCGACUAAGCGUACACGGUGGAUGCCCUGGCAGUCAGAGGCGAUGAAGGGCGUGCUAAUCUGCGAUAAGCGCCGGUAAGGUGAUAUGAACCGUUAUAACCGGCGAUACCCGAAUGGGGAAACCCAGUGUGACUCGUCACACUAUCAUUAACUGAAUCCAUAGGUUAAUGAGGCGAACCGGGGGAACUGAAACAUCUAAGUACCCCGAGGAAAAGAAAUCAACCGAGAUUCCCCCAGUAGCGGCGAGCGAACGGGGAGGAGCCCAGAGCCUGAAUCAGCAUGUGUGUUAGUGGAAGCGUCUGGAAAGGCGCGCGAUACAGGGUGACAGCCCCGUACACAAAAGCGCAUGUGCUGUGAGCUCGAUGAGUAGGGCGGGACACGUGGUAUCCUGUCUGAAUAUGGGGGGACCAUCCUCCAAGGCUAAAUACUCCUGACUGACCGAUAGUGAACCAGUACCGUGAGGGAAAGGCGAAAAGAACCCCGGCGAGGGGAGUGAAAAAGAACCUGAAACCGUGUACGUACAAGCAGUGGGAGCCAGCCGUUAAGUUGCAGGGUAUAGACCCGAAACCCGGUGAUCUAGCCAUGGGCAGGUUGAAGGUUGGGUAACACUAACUGGAGGACCGAACCGACUAAUGUUGAAAAAUUAGCGGAUGACCUGUGGCUGGGGGUGAAAGGCCAAUCAAACCGGGAGAUAGCUGGUUCUCCCCGAAAGCUAUUUAGGUAGCGCCUCGUGAAUUCAUCUCCGGGGGUAGAGCACUGUUUCGGCUAGGGGGCCAUCCCGGCUUACCAACCCGAUGCAAACUGCGAAUACCGGAGAAUGUUAUCACGGGAGACACACGGCGGGUGCUAACGUCCGUCGUGAAGAGGGAAACAACCCAGACCGCCAGCUAAGGUCCCAAAGUCAUGGUUAAGUGGGAAACGAUGUGGGAAGGCCCAGACAGCCAGGAUGUUGGCUUAGAAGCAGCCAUCAUUUAAAGAAAGCGUAAUAGCUCACUGGUCGAGUCGGCCUGCGCGGAAGAUGUAACGGGGCUAAACCAUGCACCGAAGCUGCGGCAGCGAGAUGCUGGAGGUAUCAGAAGUGCGAAUGCUGACAUAAGUAACGAUAAAGCGGGUGAAAAGCCCGCUCGCCGGAAGACCAAGGGUUCCUGUCCAACGUUAAUCGGGGCAGGGUGAGUCGACCCCUAAGGCGAGGCCGAAAGGCGUAGUCGAUGGGAAACGGGUUAAUAUUCCCGUACUUGGUGUUACUGCGAAGGGGGGACGGAGAAGGCUAUGUUGGCCGGGCGACGGUUGUCCCGGUUUAAGCGUGUAGGUGUGUGUUCCAGGUAAAUCCGGUUCACUUUAACACUGAGGCGUGACGGAGCUGAAGUCAGUCGAAGAUACCAGCUGGCUGCAACUGUUUAUUAAAAACACAGCACUGUGCAAACACGAAAGUGGACGUAUACGGUGUGACGCCUGCCCGGUGCCGGAAGGUUAAUUGAUGGGGUCAGCGCAAGCGAAGCUCCUGAUCGAAGCCCCGGUAAACGGCGGCCGUAACUAUAACGGUCCUAAGGUAGCGAAAUUCCUUGUCGGGUAAGUUCCGACCUGCACGAAUGGCGUAAUGAUGGCCAGGCUGUCUCCACCCGAGACUCAGUGAAAUUGAACUCGCUGUGAAGAUGCAGUGUACCCGCGGCAAGACGGAAAGACCCCGUGAACCUUUACUAUAGCUUGACACUGAACAUUGAGCCUUGAUGUGUAGGAUAGGUGGGAGGCUUUGAAGUGUGGACGCCAGUCUGCAUGGAGCCGACCUUGAAAUACCACCCUUUAAUGUUUGAUGUUCUAACGUGGACCCGUUACCCGGGUUGCGGACAGUGUCUGGUGGGUAGUUUGACUGGGGCGGUCUCCUCCUAAAGAGUAACGGAGGAGCACGAAGGUUGGCUAAUCCUGGUCGGACAUCAGGAGGUUAGUGCAAUGGCAUAAGCCAGCUUGACUGCGAGCGUGACGGCGCGAGCAGGUGCGAAAGCAGGUCAUAGUGAUCCGGUGGUUCUGAAUGGAAGGGCCAUCGCUCAACGGAUAAAAGGUACUCCGGGGAUAACAGGCUGAUACCGCCCAAGAGUUCAUAUCGACGGCGGUGUUUGGCACCUCGAUGUCGGCUCAUCACAUCCUGGGGCUGAAGUAGGUCCCAAGGGUAUGGCUGUUCGCCAUUUAAAGUGGUACGCGAGCUGGGUUUAGAACGUCGUGAGACAGUUCGGUCCCUAUCUGCCGUGGGCGCUGGAGAACUGAGGGGGGCUGCUCCUAGUACGAGAGGACCGGAGUGGACGCAUCACUGGUGUUCGGGUUGUCAUGCCAAUGGCACUGCCCGGUAGCUAAAUGCGGAAGAGAUAAGUGCUGAAAGCAUCUAAGCACGAAACUUGCCCCGAGAUGAGUUCUCCCUGAGACUUAGAGUCUCCUGAAGGAACGUUGAAGACGACGACGUUGAUAGGCCGGGUGUGUAAGCGCAGCGAUGCGUUGAGCUAACCGGUACUAAUGAACCGUGAGGCUUAACCUUACAACGCCGAAG
rnacentral:rRNA from 1 species